AGGGUUUGAUUCUGGCUCAGGAUGAACGCUGGCGGCGUGCUUAACACAUGCAAGUCGAACGAACCUUCGGGUUAGUGGCGGACGGGUGAGUAACGCGUGAGAAUCUGCCCUCAGGAGGGGGACAACAGCUGGAAACGGCUGCUAAUACCCCAUAUGCCGCGAGGUGAAAUGAAUUUCGCCUGAGGAUGAGCUCGCGUCUGAUUAGCUAGUUGGUGUAGGUAAUGGCUCACCAAGGCAUCGAUCAGUAGCUGGUCUGAGAGGAUGAUCAGCCACACUGGGACUGAGGCACGGCCCAGACUCCUACGGGAGGCAGCAGUGGGGAAUUUUCCGCAAUGGGCGAAAGCCUGACGGAGCAACGCCGCGUGAGGGAUGAAGGCCUCUGGGCUGUAAACCUCUUUUAUCAAGGAAGAAGAUCUGACGGUACUUGAUGAAUAAGCCACGGCUAAUUCCGUGCCAGCAGCCGCGGUAAUACGGGAGUGGCAAGCGUUAUCCGGAAUUAUUGGGCGUAAAGCGUCCGCAGGCGGCCCUUCAAGUCUGCUGUUAAAAAGUGGAGCUUAACUCCAUCAUGGCAGUGGAGACUGUUGGGCUUGAGUGUGGUAGGGGCAGAGGGAAUUCCCGGUGUAGCGGUGAAAUGCGUAGAUAUCGGGAAGAACACCAGUGGCGAAGGCGCUCUGCUGGGCCAUCACUGACGCUCAUGGACGAAAGCCAGGGGAGCGAAAGGGAUUAGAUACCCCUGUAGUCCUGGCCGUAAACGAUGAACACUAGGUGUCGGGGGAAUCGACCCCCUCGGUGUCGUAGCCAACGCGUUAAGUGUUCCGCCUGGGGAGUACGCACGCAAGUGUGAAACUCAAAGGAAUUGACGGGGGCCCGCACAAGCGGUGGAGUAUGUGGUUUAAUUCGAUGCAACGCGAAGAACCUUACCAGGGUUUGACAUCCUGCGAAUCUCUUGGAAACAGGAGAGUGCCUUCGGGAACGCAGUGACAGGUGGUGCAUGGCUGUCGUCAGCUCGUGUCGUGAGAUGUUGGGUUAAGUCCCGCAACGAGCGCAACCCACGUCUUUAGUUGCCAGCAUUUAGUUGGGCACUCUAGAGAGACUGCCGGUGAUAAACCGGAGGAAGGUGUGGAUGACGUCAAGUCAUCAUGCCCCUUACAUCCUGGGCUACACACGUACUACAAUGCUACGGACAAAGGGCAGCAAGUUCGCGAGGACAAGCAAAUCCCAUAAACCGUGGCUCAGUUCAGAUCGUAGGCUGCAACUCGCCUACGUGAAGGCGGAAUCGCUAGUAAUCGCAGGUCAGCAUACUGCGGUGAAUACGUUCCCGGGCCUUGUACACACCGCCCGUCACACCAUGGAAGUUGGCCACGCCCGAAGCCGUUACUCCAACCCUUGUGGAGGAGGACGUCGAAGGUGGGGCUGAUGACUGGGGUGAAGUCGUAACAAGGUAACCAAGGG
rnacentral:rRNA from 1 species